UACGAAGGGGGCUAGCGUUGUUCGGAUUUACUGGGCGUAAAGCGCACGUAGGCGGAUCGAUCAGUCAGGGGUGAAAUCCCAGAGCUCAACUCUGGAACUGCCUUUGAUACUGUCGAUCUGGAGUAUGGAAGAGGUAAGUGGAAUUCCGAGUGUAGAGGUGAAAUUCGUAGAUAUUCGGAGGAACACCAGUGGCGAAGGCGGCUUACUGGUCCAUUACUGACGCUGAGGUGCGAAAGCGUGGGGAGCAAACAGG
rnacentral:rRNA from 2 species